UAAUGUUCUAAUUAUGAUAUGAGUAUAAAACGGGACAACCCUAGCCAAGUUGAUCGGACAAUUGGUUUGGUAACCACGAGGUUCCAAGUUUGACUCCCAGAAUAUGAGAAACAAGGGAGCAACCCUAGCCAAGUUGGUCGGACAGUUGACUUGAUAACCACAACUCCACAAGGCUUCAAGUUUGACUUCCCGUGGAAGCUGUCUUCUGGCUUUCUUGAUUUGAGCUGGUUAGCUAUGGACAGUCUAGGCUGGUUUACCUCCUUGUGGUACUUUGCUAGCUAUGGUCACAAGGCGGGCUUCACUCCACAUUUGUUUCUCAUAUUCUUUAAUUAUACAUGGCAUAUUAUAUGAGCAAGAAAGACACAAGCACUGCCAAGGACAUCUGCACAGACAUUAGUAUAUGCCUCGAACAAAUCAGGCUAGCUAUAGAUAUGUUAA